CACGUGGUCGCUGUCUUGGGUUGUUGCCGAGCUCCUAGCAGUGGAGUUUUUUUCCUGCUGAUGUUGACUGGAAACGUGGGCGGGCUCAGCGCCUUCGACCCCAGCUUUACGAAUUCUGCCCUAGCUGUAUCUUCCCGUCUGUCGUGUCUAUCGCCACCAUGACCGAAAUAGAAAAACCCAUUCUAAAAUUGAAUCUCAAGGAACCCGGAAUAGCUGAAACACUCUUGAAAAAGAUCGAAGUUGCAAGAAUACUCUUCCUGAUUUCAAAACUUACUAGAAAGUUACAAUGAAGAAACUGAGGCUGAGACAGAGACUGAUCCAAGGUCACAGAGCCACCAAGACUUGAAUCUUGUCCUCUGACUCCAAAACCAGACUUUCAUUUUGGUCCUGGUGAUGUACAGUGGGUAAGGAAGGAGCUGGGUUUGAAGAGGAGGUGGAUUCACUUGACUGUAUCUAGAUUCAUUCCAGACUUUUUUCCUUGUAUCCACUGGCAGAACUUCCUCCUUUUCUCUCUGCCUCCUUUUCUGAUUCACUCUCCAUUAGUGGCUGCUGGCUCCUGAGAAUGUGAUGCCACAGGGUGGGGUAGGCUGUAGGGGUGGGAAGGGAGACCCACAAGUGCAGGCAGUCUUUAAUAAACAAAGUUUUUGAUUGCCCUUUAUAUGCCAGGCAAUGUUUGGAGGCUGUAGUCCUGUUGUGAAUAAAACAGACCUUGU